rnacentral:rRNA from 1 species
UACAGAGGUCCCAAGCGUCGUUCGGAUUCACUGGGCGUAAAGGGUGCGUGGGCGGUCGGGUAAGUCUGAUGUGAAAUCUUCAAGCUCAACUUGGAAACUGCAUCGGUUACUAUUCGGCUCGAGGAAUGGAGGGGAGACUGGAAUACUUGGUGUAGCAGUGAAAUGCGUAGAUAUCAAGUGGAACACCAGUGGCGAAGGCGAGUCUCUGGACAUUUCCUGACGCUGAGGCACGAAAGCCAGGGGAGCGAACAGG